rnacentral:rRNA from 1 species
AGAGUUUGAUCCUGGCUCAGCCUGAACGCUGGCGGCGUGGCUAAGACAUGCAAGUCGUACGGUGUAGCAAUACACAGUGGCGAACGGGAGAGUAAUGAAUCGCUAAUGUGCCCCGGACUCUGGGAUAGCUUCCCGAAAGGGAAGGUAAUACCAGAUGAUAUACCCUGCAGGCAUCUGCGGGAUCUCAAAGGUCCGCCGGUCUGGGAGCAGGCGAUUUCGUAUCAGCUAGUUGGUGAGGUAACGGCUCACCAAGGCGACGACGCGUAGCCGGACUGAGAGGUUGGCCGGCCUCAUUGGGACUGAGACACUGCCCAGACUCCUACGGGGGGCUGCAGUAACGAAUCUUCCGCAAUGCACGAAAGUGUGACGGAGCGACGCCGCGUGUGGGAUGAAGUCCUUCGGGAUGUAAACCACUGUCAGGGGUUAGAAAGUUCUGAUCAACCCCAGAGGAAGAGACGGCUAACUCUGUGCCAGCCGCCGCGGUAAUAC